rnacentral:rRNA from 1 species
AGAGGUUGCAAGCGUUAAUCGGAUUUACUGGGCGUAAAGCGUGUGUAGGUGGUUCGACAAGUCGGUUGUGAAAUCCCCGGGCUCAACCUGGGAAUUGCUUCCGAGACUGUCAGACUAGAGAUCGGUAGAGGGCGGUGGAAUUUCCGGUGUAGCGGUGAAAUGCGUAGAUAUCGGAAGGAACACCAAUGGCGAAGGCAGCCGCCUGGGCCUGAUCUGACACUGAGACACGAAAGCGUGGGGAUCAAACAGGAUUAGAUACCCUGGUAGUCCACGCCGUAAACGAUGAGAACUUGACGUCGGUUUGCUUAGCGAAUCGGUGUCGUAGCUAACGCGAUAAGUUGACCGCCUGGGGAGUACGGCCGCAAGGUUA